UACGUAGGGUGCAAGCGUUGUCCGGAAUUAUUGGGCGUAAAGAGCUCGUAGGCGGCUUGUCGCGUCGGCUGUGAAAACCUGGGGCUCAACCCCGGGCCUGCAGCCGAUACGGGCAAGCUAGAAUUCGGUAGGGGAGACUGGAAUUCCCUGUGUAGCGGUGAAAUGCGUAGAGAUGGGGGAGAACACUCGUGGCGAAGGCGGCCAGCUAGACCAGUUCUGACACUGAGGCGCGACAGCGUGGGGAGCAAACAGG
rnacentral:rRNA from 1 species